rnacentral:sRNA from 1 species
CUUCGAGCCCACCGAACAUAUCACAUUUUUGGCAUAACGAGCGAUAUUUUGGAUUGGAACGAAUAAGUUGGCAAAAAGGAGUAAAGUUACAAAAUCUAGAAACUUCGGUGCCGUGGAUAUCGACAACAACCGAUGCUAGACUUGUUGCAGCUGAAAAUUCAUCCAUGACUUUUUCAAGAAGUAUUUCGUUGCUUUUGGACUGUAGUAACAUAGUGAUUCCCCUUUCGGCGAUACUUGGCGUGAUUAGUCGCUUUAAGUAUAGCAUAUUUAUAAUGCGCUUACAUUUUCUUGCCAUGAAGAUAACAAUAUAUUGCUACGACCAAUUUCAUAGAGGAAAGCCCAAACCAUGCAUGAGGGGAUGGAUUUUUGUCGUUAUUUUUUUUUAAGGCGCAAAAUUGUGUUAAAACACGAUUUGCGUCUUCUUUUUU